rnacentral:rRNA from 1 species
GACGAACGCUGGCGGCGUGCCUAAUACAUGCAAGUCGAGCGCAGGAAGUCAUCCGAACCCUUCGGGGGGACGUUGACGGAAUGAGCGGCGGACGGGUGAGUAACACGUAAAGAACCUGCCCUCUGGUCUGGGAUAACCACGAGAAAUCGGGGCUAAUACCGGAUGGGUCAUCGGACCGCAUGGUCCGAGGAUGAAAGGCGCUCCGGCGUCGCCUGGGGAUGGCUUUGCGGUGCAUUAGCUAGUUGGUGGGGUAAUGGCCCACCAAGGCGACGAUGCAUAGCCGACCUGAGAGGGUGAUCGGCCACACUGGGACUGAGACACGGCCCAGACUCCUACGGGAGGCAGCAGUAGGGAAUCUUCCACAAUGGACGAAAGCCUGAUGGAGCAACGCCGCGUGAACGAUGAAGGCCCUCGGGUCGUAAAGUUCUGUUGUAAGGGAAGAACAAGUGCCGCAGGCAAUGGCGGCACCUUGACGGUACCUUGCGAGAAAGCCACGGCUAACUACGUG